rnacentral:rRNA from 1 species
UACGUAGGUGGCAAGCGUUGUCCGGAUUUACUGGGUGUAAAGGGUGCGCAGGCGGGAUUGCAAGUUGGAUGUGAAAUACCGGGGCUUAACCCCGGAACUGCAUCCAAAACUGUAGUUCUUGAGUGGAGCAGAGGUAAGCGGAAUUCCGAGUGUAGCGGUGAAAUGCGUAGAUAUUCGGAGGAACACCAGUGGCGAAGGCGGCUUACUGGGCUCUAACUGACGCUGAGGCACGAAAGUGUGGGUAG